AGGGCGGUGAUGAAACUUAAAAUGCCAACUGUAUUUUUUUGAUGAUAAAGAGGCUGUUUCUGAGCUC